GGAGAGGCAGAGGGAGACAGAGUGGGAGAGCAAGCAAGCAAGAGGACGCCAUUUAAGCAGUUUGUUACGAGCGCUGCAAGUCCCCAAAAUGGCUGAAAACAAACAGGAACCACGCCAACUCCAAAACCUGGGCACAAGGACGGACGGACAGACACACAGACGGAGAGUGAGAGCAGAGUGAGCGGAGGAGACAGAGAGAAAGUGAGACAGAGAGAGGACAAACUGGCAGUAGUCAAAUGGCGGAUUGGAGCACUCUGUGAAACAAGUGAAGUUGAGGGAAAGAUGGAGGCAUUAAAGGGGUACUACAGCGAUUUAGCACUGCACUUCAAAAAAGUUUAGGGGCUUAUAAGAGACAGGUUAAAAAAAGAAUGGUCAAAACCGACGCAGCAGAGGCCGAGAUAUCCUGACUUAAAGUCCACAGUCUGGGUCAGGUGCCAAAAAACGCUGGGUCAGACAUUUCCUAUGAUGCAACUUGAUAGCAUCUUUCUCGCCCACAUCUUUCAAACUCUACUUUCUAAACUCUACCUCGAAGGGCUUUCAGAUCAAAAAUAGGGUUGGGCGAUUGGAUGAAUACAUCAGCUAUCUGCGAUUGCCGAGUCCAUCGUCACUUUAUUUGGCUAAUUUAAUGGACUGCCUCCGAUGAAUGAGAGCCGCCCAGUGAUAGACGUUCAGCGGCGCAGUACACACACUGAGCCAAAGAACGAGUGAAAGGAAAAACUGCUGUAGUGUAUAUUCAUAUCUCACCGCGGUGAAUUAAGGGUUCAUUUCGACUACAGUGAAUACAGUUAUAAGGUGAUUUGCAGAGGCUCCAAACAAGACUCUAACUCCGGGGAAGAUGAGGACACAGCAGGGACAGCCCGGGACGGGAGAGGGGCAGGCCAGGAGAGGAGAGGCAUGAAGCUGGUAGAGGAGCGAGGGAGGUCGGCGAUCAGAGUGGCAGCGACAGCGAAGAUCUAAUUCUGUUAGCUGGUUAGACAACAGAGUUGGUGAUUGUCAGAACAGUGGAAAUAUUAAUCAAGACUGUUUGCACGACUAAACUCCGUCCUCCCCUACACCAAAACAACGGCCCCAACAUCAAGGCCUGCAGCUGGAUAUCACUUCUGAUUCACCCGUAUCCAUGCAAAAUGCCUCAUAACAACAACUCUCUUCGUUCUGGUCGCUCUCGGCCACGCACGUCAUGGUCAGUGGAAAUUCCACAUAUCUCUGUUUGGCAAUGAGCCAUUCGGUGGCCUUAGAUCAGGAUUCUACCAGCUGGAACAAGAGGGCAGAAAAAUGAGUGGAGGGGUGGAAGAAUGUUCCAGUACUGUUAUGCUACAACGCCAUCAUACUUCCCACUGUCCCUUUGAGUGGAGCUGCUACCCCCCUGACUCUCCCCCCUCAGUACCCACCAACUGAACCUUGACGCCAACAACCCGCCCUCCUCCUACUCUUCCCCUGCCCUUUCCCUCUCUCCCUCUCUUUCAUCACCCUCUCUCACCCUUAUUGUACGCUGCCACACUUGUCUCCAUGGGAACUGGUCUAUGAUUGGGUGUUGUUCCUGUGACCUCUCUGGCUCUUGGAGUUGUACGAACUUUUUUUUGUUUCUCCCCCCGGCGUCCUCUCUCAUGCACUCCAGCACGUUUUCAAAGCAUGCUGGGUGUGUGUGUGUGUGUGUGUGUGUGUGUGGACGGGACACAUGACAGCGGUAGUGACGGGUUUCAGGACAGGACAGUAAAAUCCAAACUAAAAGAAAAAGAAAGAAAGGCCUGUGUGUGUGUGAAGCAGAUUGCCCGUUGGCAAAGACAAUAGUGUGCGUGUGUGUGUGUGUGUGUUCCAGGAGUGUGGCCGCUCAGUCCACACAUGUGUGCUGGCAUUGUCCUGUGGCUGCAGCCAGCCACAAACUCUGUAUUCAGAGGCACCCCCGUCGUCCAGCCGUCCCUUUUCAUGGAUGUUUGGCCAAACGUGAUCAUAGCUUUUCAUGCUGUGCUACCAAGCGACACACACAUCUGAAUACACAAAGAUGGAGGAACUAAGAAAGCCAUCUUGGUGGAAAAUUUAAACCAUUAGCUCACCAAGACUUUCAAUAUUUAACCGUUAUCCGAAGAAAGAAAAAAACUGUUUAAGUGAGUUCCAAGAUUAGUGUUAAAUCAGGAGGUGUUCAUCAACAUUCUGGCGUAAAUGUAUUUCUUUGGCAGACAAACGCAUUUAUUUUCUGUAAAUAUAAGAUGUGUUUUAAACCGCACAACUGACUAUUUGAAGAAUAAAACAAUAAAAACUUCCUCAACACUU